rnacentral:rRNA from 1 species
AGAGUUUGAUCCUGGCUCAGAUUGAACGCUGGCGGCAUGCCUUACACAUGCAAGUCGAACGGCAGCACGGGGGCAACCCUGGUGGCGAGUGGCGAACGGGUGAGUAAUACAUCGGAACGUGUCCUGUAGUGGGGGAUAGCCCGGCGAAAGCCGGAUUAAUACCGCAUACGAUCUACGGAAGAAAGCGGGGGAUCGCAAGACCUCGCGCUAUAGGGGCGGCCGAUGGCAGAUUAGCUAGUUGGUGGGGUAAAGGCCUACCAAGGCGACGAUCUGUAGCUGGUCUGAGAGGACGACCGGCCACACUGGGACUGAGACACGGCCCAGACUCCUACGGGAGGCAGCAGUGGGGAAUUUUGGACAAUGGGGGAAACCCUGAUCCAGCAAUGCCGCGUGUGUGAAGAAGGCCUUCGGGUUGUAAAGCACUUUUGUCCGGAAAGAA